rnacentral:sRNA from 1 species
AAGGAUAUGAACUGUUCGGAGCUCGC